UUUAAGUGCAACUAUAAACUUUCGUGUCCAACUUUGAUCGUUCGUCUUAUUUAAAUCUUUUUAUAAUUAGUAUUUUUGUUGUUAUGAGAUGAUAAAACACGAAUCGUACUUUAUUCGUGACUUGUGUUUUUAAUUUUUUUUUUAAACAAGACAAAUGAUUAAAGCUUAGUGUGAAAAAAAUAUAGCUGCACUUAAA
rfam:Oryza nivara chromosome 9, whole genome shotgun sequence.